rnacentral:rRNA from 1 species
AGCUACAGCCAUGCCACCCUGAACGUGCCCGAUCUCGUCUGAUCUCGGAAGCUAAGCAGGGUCGGGCCUGGUUAGUACUUGGAUGGGAGACCACCUAGGAAGACCAGGUGCUGCAGGCA